AUUGAACGCUGGCGGCAGGCCUAACACAUGCAAGUCGAGCGAGCGGCGGACGGGUGAGUAAUGUAUGGGGACUGCCCGAUAGAGGGGGAUAACUACUGGAAACGGUGGCUAAUACCGCAUACUAUCGGAUAACCCAUAUGGGAUUAGCUAGUAGGUGGGGUAAAGGCUCACCUAGGCGACGAGCUCUAGCUGGUCUGAGAGGAUGACCACCCACCCGGGGACUGAGAAACGGCCCAGACUCCCGGGGAGGCAGAAGUGGGGAAUAUUGCACAAUGGGCGAAAGCCUGAUGCACCCAUGCCGCGUGUAUGAAGAGGGCCUUAGGGUGGUAAAGUACUUUCAGCGGGGAGGCGUUACCCGCAGAAGAAGCACCGGUUAAUUCCGUGCCAGCAGCCGCGGUAAUA
rnacentral:rRNA from 1 species